UCAGCAACAGUUCUUCACAGAAGAAGAACUGAAAGAAUAUGAAAAUCUUAUCUCUGUACAAGAAACUGAACUUAAGAAAAAGGCAGAUGAGCUUCAGAAACAAAAAGAAGAGCUACAACGUCAGCAUGACCAACUUGAGGCUCAGAAGCUGGAAUAUCAUCAGGUUGUGCAGCAGAUGGAACAAAAAAAAUUACAAGCAAUUUCCCCAUCAGCCCCUGGUGGAGAAUCAAAGAUCCAGCCACGUAUGUAAUUUUAUUUAUUUGUUUGUUUGUUUAAGGAAAUAA
rnacentral:lncRNA from 1 species